rnacentral:lncRNA from 1 species
AGCCGCUCUCACAGGUUUGUUAUGUAACCGCCGGGCCAGCCCCGCCCUCAGGGUGGGCUGAGGUGCGGCUCCCUGGAGACCCCGCCCGCUAGCCGGGAGCCAGCGGCGCAGUGCGAGUUCAGCCCGCUUUCUUCGCGCUCCGCGUCAAAUCUCUCCAGCUCUGUUCUCGCAUCCCGGGUUUAGAUCCCGCAGAGUUAAGUAUCCCGCGUGUGAAGGGAUGAACUGAGACUCCCAGAGGGCAUAACUGAUGGAGGCACGAAGAUGUCUGCUCUUCAGCUUUGCCAAGAUGGGCCACCUGUUUUAAAUCCAAAAGCUGGUAGGAGUUUCAGGUACACUGCAUUUGCUUCUGCUGUCCUAUUGCACUUGGACUUGGUGCAGCUAUGACCUAAUGCAGAAGACAAAGUAUGAAGCUACCAAACUGUCAGGGCCAGAACUAAGGUUGAACACAUUGUGAGUAGAAGAUCUCUUUCCCCAGGAAAUAGGAUGGAGAGAGUCUUUGGAGAAUGGCCUCACUGAAAUGCUAAGUCAGCUUCCUCCAGAUUUUGAGCUCGGCAAGUUUUUCUUUGUUUUUUGAUACAAACUGAAAGAUGCCUUUGGUUAUAUCUACCCACUGAAAACAAGAUGCCAUCUCUGGAUUACACAGGGAUUCGUGAAGGCUGACAUUUGUCUAUUUGUUAAAAAAUGUACAUGUCAUAUACACCAUGGAAUACUAUGCAGCCAUAAAAAGGAAUGAGAUCAUGUCCUUUGCAGGGACAUGGAUGAAGCUGGAAACCAUCAUCCUCAGCAAACACAGGAACAGAAAACCAAAAACUGCAUGUUCUCACUUAUAGGUGGGAGUUGAAUGAUGAGAAUACAUGGACACAGGGAGGGGAACAUCACACACCAGGGCCUGUUGCAGGGUCGGGGAGAGGGGAGGGAGAGCAUUAGGACAAAUAGCUAAUGUAUGCAGGGCUUAAAACCUUGAUGAUGGGUUGAUAGGUGUGGCAAACCCACCAUGGCACACGUAUACCUAUGUAACAAACCUGCAUGUUGUGCACUUUUAUCCUAGAACUUAAAGUAAAAUAAAAAUAAAAAGAAAAAAAUACAUGUCUAUAGUAUUAAUCUUCCUAAAGCAAUGCUUUCAUCAUGUCAGUCCCUUGCUUUCAAAAAAAUCUGUUAUAGCAUUUUGUUGAUCACAGAGUAUUACCAAACCUCCUUACUUAGCAGUUUAGGCCUUCUGGAAACUUCUAUUUCUUCAACAAACACUUCUUUUUAUUACACAAAUAAUUCAUAGUAAUAUAUAAAGAAAAAAUACUGUGCCUUCCCCAAGUCCCAUGAAAUCUUAGUUGUGUGUUUUCCUCAUAUAAACAUAGACAUAUAAGAAAUGUACAAUGUGGCUGGGUGUGGCGGCUCACACCUGUAAUCCCAGCAUUUUGGGAUGCCAAGGUGGGUGGAUCACCUGAGGUCAGGAGUUCAAGACCAGCCUAGUCAAUAUGGCAAAACCCCGUCUCUACUAAAAAUACAAAAAU